UACGUAGGUGGCAAGCGUUGUCCGGAUUUACUGGGCGUAAAGAGCGCGCAGGCGGUCGUACAAGUCGCGUGUGAAAGCCCCCGGCUCAACUGGGGAGGGUCACGCGAUACUGUUCGACUCGAAGGCAGGAGAGGGAAGUGGAAUUCCCGGUGUAGUGGUGAAAUGCGUAGAGAUCGGGAAGAACAUCAGUGGCGAAGGCGGCCUGCUGGGCUGUUGCUGACGCUGAGGCGCGACAGCGUGGGGAGCAAACAGG
rnacentral:rRNA from 1 species